AAAGUUUUAAGUUAAUUUAAACUCAUAAUUUUCAAAAUUAUAAAUAAAGACUUUCUUUAAGCUUUA
rnacentral:tRNA from 1 species